rnacentral:rRNA from 1 species
CCUACGGGUGGCAGCAGUGAGGAAUAUUGGUCAAUGGACGAGAGUCUGAACCAGCCAAGUAGCGUGAAGGAUGACUGCCCUAUGGGUUGUAAACUUCUUUUAUAAAGGAAUAAAACGAGGCACGUGUGCCUUUUUGCAUGUACUUUAUGAAUAAGGAUCGGCUAACUCCGUGCCAGCAGCCGCGGUAAUACGGAGGAUCCGAGCGUUAUCCGGAUUUAUUGGGUUUAAGGGGAGCGUAGAUGGGUUGUUAAGUCAGUUGUGAAAGUUUGCGGCUCAACCGUAAAAUUGCAAUUGAUACUGGCAGUCGUGAGUACAGUUGAGGUAGGCGGAAUUCGUGGUGUAGCGGUGAAAUGCUUAGAUAUCACGAAGAACCCCGAUUGCGAAGGCAGCUUACUAAACUGUGACUGACAUUGAUGCUCGAAAGUGUGGGUAUCAAACAGGAUUAGAUACCCCUGUAGUC